ensembl:lncRNA
GGGCCAGUGCUGGGAGCAGUGCCGUGCAAGCUAAAUAUGUUUACUGUUUGCUCAGCCAGACCCUAGUCAGGAAAGACAAGAUGAAUUUGAUUGCUAAUGCAAAAAUAACAGACAAUCAUAAAUCAUGGAAGUGGGAGUGGGAGUGGGAGUCGAUGACGAGAGUUAAUCAAUACGAGCCCUGACUUUGCCAUUGUGCAGAGUGGCACUCCAUUUAUAACAGAGGAGUUUGAGGAGAAACAUUAUUCACAUUAGGCUAUGCAUGGAGGAGGGCGAGGGUGCGAGGAGAGGGUGCUUAGUCACCGCAGCUACGGAACGCCGGGAGCGUGCCUGAACACCAGCCAUCAUCCACGCACCUCAUAGCUCUGCAGGGGCACAAACAUCAAUUCCCCAGACCCCAAUGAUAACGUUUUCGGUCCCUUCCACACGUUAAGUUGUGAGGCAACUCAAUUGGACUGCGCUCUUAGAAAAAAGAGAGGGGUAGAAAAAAAAUAAACAAUGUGCAUUUUGUGUGGCAGAUCAACAGAAAAGUUCACUAAAUUCCAUUUUAGUCUGUUGAGAGGCGCUGCUUUCCACGGUUGUGGAGUCUCCUUGAUUUUCUGUUUGAAAGUCGGGCAGCCUACUUGAUUUGAGUGGGUCUAGGAUGGAGCUCUCGGGGGAAAUUGGGCCUGGGGAGUACAGGCUGAUUUACUCUUGACUUGACCUGUCUACUCCAUGAGCUGAAGGCAUAGAGGCGACACAAGGAUCUCAUCCCUAUAAUAUUUCCCUCUGCACACUAAAGGACAGUCCUAAUGCAGCACAGGCAGGGCAAUGCUUUCUCUCCUUCAUCUCCUGGCCUCCCACACCUCGGCUAUGACUUUCUCAUGCUGCAGUAAUUAUUUUUUCCUCACCAAGCUCCCCAUUCAGUGGUUCCAGGUGGAAUGUAUAGCUUUAUUCAAGCUGUGACUGGGUAUCAUUGGAUUUGUAUUGCUCUGAACAGGAAAGGACAUUUGAGAUUCAUCAAGAGCCAAUUUAAUUCAGGAUUCAUGGAGUCUGCAUCAGUCAACAUGCCAGGGUGCAGUUGGCUUUGAUAGAUUUGCAGCUCCCCAGCUGUGCAGCUGCAGGACAGGGCGGUCACUUUUUAAGCUGGACGUCCGCACUCUGUCUUUGCCAGCCCUGUCAGCGCUCUCAGACCGGAGACGGAGUGUGAGAGGGAUGGACCGAGAGAGAGAUGGACAGAGCUAGAGAGCGACUGAUGAAAGCAAAUGAAAAGAUGGAAGAGGGCCUGGUGACAGGAGACAGAAAGAGAAAUGAAUCUGCUCGGAGUAGAAAAGGCAGCCCACAGUGUCAUAAGUAAAACCAUGUUUUUCAGCAGUCAAGAGUUACUUGUGUGCUGAAAGUGAAGAUGUUUUAGAAAUACUAUAUAGCUUAAAAAUACAUUUAAAAGGGUUGAAAUUCAUGAAACGGCACCAAUUUAAAAUAAAUAAAUAAGAUGCUACCA